UACAGAGGGUGCGAGCGUUGUCCGGAAUCACUGGGCGUAAAGGGCGCGUAGGCGCCCGGUAAGGUUGCGGUGAAAGCCCGGGGCUCAACCCCGGGUCGGCCGUGGCAACUGCUGGGCUGGAGCACUGUAGAGGCGGGUGGAAUUCCGGGUGUAGCGGUGGAAUGCGUAGAGAUCCGGAAGAACACCAGUGGCGAAGGCGGCCCGCUGGGCAGUGGCUGACGCUGAGGCGCGACAGCGUGGGGGAGCAAACAGGAUUAGA
rnacentral:rRNA from 1 species